rnacentral:rRNA from 1 species
AUUGAACGCUGGCGGCAUGCCUUACACAUGCAAGUCGAACGGCAGCACGGGUGCUUGCACCUGGUGGCGAGUGGCGAACGGGUGAGUAAUACAUCGGCACGUACCUUAUCGUGGGGGAUAACGCAGCGAAAGCUGUGCUAAUACCGCAUACGCCCUGAGGGGGAAAGCGGGGGAUCGCAAGACCCCGCGCGAUUAGAGCGGCCGAUGCCUGAUUAGCUUGUUGGUGGGGUAAAAGCCCACCAAGGCGACGAUCAGUAGCUGGUCUGAGAGGACGAUCAGCCACACUGGGACUGAGACACGGCCCAGACUCCUACGGGAGGCAGCAGUGGGGAAUUUUGGACAAUGGGGGCAACCCUGAUCCAGCAAUGCCGCGUGAGUGAAGAAGGCCUUCGGGUUGUAAAGCUCUUUUGUCAGGGAAGAAACACCGGCUCUAACACAGUCCGGGAAUGACGGUACCUGAAGAAUAAGCACCGGCUAACUACGUGCCAGCUGCCGCCGUAA